rnacentral:rRNA from 1 species
CCUACGGGGGGCAGCAGUGAGGAAUAUUGGUCAAUGGGCUUACGCCUGAACCAGCCAAGUCGCGUGAGGGAAGACUGCCCUAUGGGUUGUAAACCUCUUUUGUCAGGGAGCAAUUGGCGCUACGUGUAGCGUUAUCGAGAGUACCUGAAGAAAAAGCAUCGGCUAACUCCGUGCCAGCAGCCGCGGUAAUACGGAGGAUGCGAGCGUUAUCCGGAUUUAUUGGGUUUAAAGGGUGCGUAGGCGGAAUGCCAAGUCAGCGGUAAAAUCGCGGGGCUCAACCUCGCUCCGCCGUUGAAACUGGCGGUCUUGAGUGGGCGAGAGGUAUGCGGAAUGCGUGGUGUAGCGGUGAAAUGCAUAGAUAUCACGCAGAACUCCGAUUGCGAAGGCAGCAUACCGGCGCCCAACUGACGCUGAGGCACGAAAGCGUGGGUAUCGAACAGGAUUAGAUACCCUUGUAGUC